rnacentral:rRNA from 1 species
AUUGAACGCUGGCGGCAGGCCUAACACAUGCAAGUCGAGCGAGUGGCGGACGGGUGAGUAAUGUCUGGGGAACUGCCCGAUGGCGGGGGAUAACUACUGGAAACGGUGGCUAAUACCGCAUACUAUCGGAUGUACCCAGAUGGGAUUAGCUAGUAGGGUGGGUAAAGGCUCACCUAGGCGACGAUCCCUAGCUGGUCUGAGAGGAUGACCAGCCACACUGGAACUGAGACACGGUCCAGACUCCUACGGGAGGCAGCAGUGGGGAAUAUUGCACAAUGGGCUCAAGCCUGAUGCAGCCAUGCCGCGUGUAUGAAGAAGGCCUUAGGGUUGUAAAGUACUUUCAGCGAGGAGGCGUUACUCGCAGAAGAAGCACCGGCUAACUCCGUGCCAGCAGCCGCGGUAAUUC